rnacentral:rRNA from 1 species
CAUGGAGGGCCGAACGCACGUUCGUUGCAAUGACCGGCGAUGACUUGUGGCUAGCGGUGAAAUUCCAAUCGAACUUGGAGAUAGCUGGUUCUCCCCGAAAUAGCUUUAGGGCUAGCCUCAGGGAAAAGAUUGCAGGCGGUAGAGCACUGAUCAGGAGAGGGACCUACCCGGUUACCAAACCCAGUCAAACUCCGAAUGGCUGCAAUCAUACCUGGGAGUCAGACUGCGACUAAUAAGGGCCGCAGUCAAAAGGGAAACAGCCCAGACCAUCAGCUAAGGUCCCCAAUGCCGUGCUAAGUGGAAAAGGAUGUGGCAUUUCAUAAACAACCAGGAUGUUGGCUCAGAAGCAGCCACCAUUUAAAGAGUGCGUAAUAGCUCACUGGUCGAGAAACGCUGCGCCGAAAAUGUCCGGGGCUCAAGCACGGAACCGAAGCUAUGGCAUGAUAGCAAUAUCAUGGGUAGGGGAGCGUUCUUAUAAGGAAGAAGCAUGACCGGAAGGACAUGUGGACAAAUAAGAAGUGAGAAUGCCGGUAUGAGUAUCGAAAAGAAAGGUGAGAAUCCUUUCCACCGAAAGCCCGAGGGUUCCUGAGCAACGAUCGUCGACUCAGGGUAAGUCGGGACCUAAGCCGAGGCGGAAAGCGUAGGCGAUGGACAACAGGUUGAAAUUCCUGUACCGGAUCAAGUCGAUCGAGCGAAGGAGCGACGCAGGAGGGCACAUGAUCGCGCGGCUGGAAGAGCGCGUCCAAGUGCGUAUGUUGCAGCAGAGGAAAACCCCUGCAGCUAAAAGCAGAGACAUGAUGGGGAGUUAAAGGAAACUUUGACGAACUCAUGGAUCCCACACUGCCAAGAAAAACUUCUAGCGAGACAAGAUCCGCCCGUACCGUAAACCGACACAGGUAGGCGGGGAGAGAAUCCUAAGGUGCGCGGGAAAACCCUCGUUAAGGAACUCGGCAAAUUGCAUCCGUAACCUAGGGAGAAGGAUGGCCCCCGGUCAGUGAAGAGCAGAAACGCUCAGAGCUAAAAGGGGCGGCAGAAAAGAGGCCCAAGCAACUGUUUACCAAAAACACAGGUGCCUGCGAAAGCGAAAGCUGAAGUAUAGGGGCUGACGCCUGCCCGGUGCCGGAAGGUUAAGGAGAGAAGUUAGCGAAAGCGAAGCAUCGAACUGAAGCCCCGGUGAACGGCGGCCGUAACUAUAACGGUCCUAAGGUAGCGAAAUUCCUUGUCGGGUAAG